GAAAUGCGAUAAGUAAUGUGAAUUGCAGAAUUCAGUGAAUCAUCGAAUCUUUGAACGCAUAUUGCGCCCAUUAGUAUUCUAGUGGGCAUGCCUAUUCGAGCGUCAUUUCAACCCUUAAGCCCUGUUGCUUAGUGUUAGGAACCUACGGGCCGUAAGAGGCCAGUAGCUCCCUAAAGGUAGUGGCGGUGUUAGGUACACUCGUAGCGUAGUACAUUUAUUCUCGCUCCUGCAGAGUACCUAGGGCCUGCCGUGAAACCCCCUUAUAUCUUCUAGUGGUUGACCUCGGAUUAGGUAGGAAUACCCGCUGAACUUAA
rnacentral:misc_RNA from 1 species